rnacentral:rRNA from 1 species
AUUGAACGCUGGCGGCAGGCCUAACACAUGCAAGUCGAGCGAGCGGCGGACGGGUGAGUAAUGUCUGGGAAACUGCCUGAUGGAGGGGGAGAACUACUGGAAACGGUAGCUAAUACCGCAUACCAUUAGAGGUGCCCAGAUGGGAUGAGCUAGUGGGUGGGGUAACGGCUCACCUAGGCGACGAUCCCUAGCUGGUCUGAGAGGAUGACAUGCCACACUGGAACUGAGACACGGUCCAGAUUCCGACGGUAGGCAGCAGUGGGGAAUAUUGCACAAUGGGCGCAAGCCUGAUGCAGCCAUGCCGCGUGUAUGAAGAAGGCCUUCGGGUUGUAAAGUACUUUCAGCGGGGAGGCGUUACCCGCAGAAGAAGCACCGGCUAACUCCGUGCCAGCAGCCGCGGUAAUUC